rnacentral:rRNA from 1 species
AUUGAACGCUGGCGGCAGGCCUAACACAUGCAAGUCGAACGGUAACAGGAAGCAGCUUGCUGCUUCGCUGACGAGUGGCGGACGGGUGAGUAAUGUCUGGGAAGCUGCCUGAUGGAGGGGGAUAACUACUGGAAACGGUAGCUAAUACCGCAUAAUGUCGCAAGACCAAAGAGGGGGACCUUCGGGCCUCUUGCCAUCGGAUGUGCCCAGAUGGGAUUAGCUUGUUGGUGGGGUAACGGCUCACCAAGGCGACGAUCCCUAGCUGGUCUGAGAGGAUGACCAGCCACACUGGAACUGAGACACGGUCCUGACUCCUACGGGAGGCAGCAGUGGGGAAUAUUGCACAAUGGGCGCAAGCCUGAUGCAGCCAUGCCGCGUGUAUGAAGAAGGCCUUCGGGUUGUAAAGUACUUUCAGCGGGGAGGAAGGGAGUAAAGUUAAGACCUUUGCUCAUUGACGUUACCCGCAGAAGAAGCACCGGCUAACUCCGU